rnacentral:rRNA from 1 species
AACGAACGCUGGCGGCAUGCCUAACACAUGCAAGUCGAACGAGACCUUCGGGUCUAGUGGCGCACGGGUGCGUAACGCGUGGGAACCUGCCCUUAGGUUCGGAAUAACUCCCCGAAAGGGGUGCUAAUACCGGAUAAUGUCUUCGGACCAAAGAUUUAUCGCCUUUGGAUGGGCCCGCGUUGGAUUAGCUAGUUGGUAGGGUAAAAGCCUACCAAGGCGACGAUCCAUAGCUGGUCUGAGAGGAUGAUCAGCCACACUGGGACUGAGACACGGCCCAGACUCCUACGGAAGGCAGCAGUGGGGAAUAUUGGACAAUGGGCGAAAGCCUGAUCCAGCAAUGCCGAGUGAGUGAUGAAGGCCUUAGGGUUGUAAAGCUCUUUUACCCGGGAUGAUAAUGACAGUACCGGGAGAAUAAGCUCCGGCUAACUCCGUG